UUUCUGUACUAUAUUG
rnacentral:misc_RNA from 3 species